GUUUGCUCCCCACGCUUUCGCGUCUCAGCGUCAGUACCGUCCCAGAGAGCCGCCUUCGCCACGGGUGUUCUUCCCGAUAUCUGCGCAUUUCACCGCUACACCGGGAAUUCCACUCUCCUCUUCCGGACUCUAGCCAGAGGGUUUCCACCGACGUCUCGAGGUUGAGCCUCGAGUUUUCACAGCGGACCUACCUAGCCGCCUACACGCGCUUUACGCCCAAUAAAUCCGGACAACGCUUGCCCCCUACGUAUUACCGCGGCUGCUGGCACGUAGUUAGCCGGGGCUUCUUCUGGAGGUACCGUCACCCUCUGGGCUAUUAACCCGAGUGGCUUCGUCCCUCCUGAAAGCGGUUUACAACCCGAAGGCCUUCUUCCCGCACGCGGCGUCGCUGCGUCAGGCUUUCGCCCAUUGCGCAAGAUUCCCCACUGCUGCCUCCCGUAGGAGUCUGGGCCGUGUCUCAGUCCCAGUGUGGCUGAUCGUCCUCUCAGACCAGCUACGGAUCGUCGCCUUGGUGGGCCGUUACCCCACCAACAAGCUAAUCCGCCGCGAGCUCGUCCUCGGCCGGAGGCCGAAGCUACCUUUUCUC
rnacentral:rRNA from 1 species